AGUGAACGCUGGCGGUAGGCCUAACACAUGCGAGUCGAACGGCAGCACAGUAAGAGCUUGCUCUUACGGGUGGCGGGUGGCGGACGGGUGAGGAAUACAUCGGAAUCUACUUUUUCGUGGGGGAUAACGUAGGGAAACUUACGCUAAUACCGCAUACGACCUACGGGUGAAAGCAGGGGAUCUUCGGACCUUGCGCGAUUGAAUGAGCCGAUGUCGGAUUAGCUAGUUGGCGGGGUAAAGGCCCACCAAGGCGACGAUCCGUAGCUGGUCUGAGAGGAUGAUCAGCCACACUGGAACUGAGACACGGUCCAGACUCCUACGGGAGGCAGCAGUGGGGAAUAUUGGACAAUGGGCGCAAGCCUGAUCCAGCCAUACCGCGUGGGUGAAGAAGGCCUUCGGGUUGUAAAGCCCUUUUGUUGGGAAAGAAAAGCAGCAGGUUAAUACCCCGCUGUUCCGACGGUACCCAAAGAAUAAGCACCGGCUAACUUCGUG
rnacentral:rRNA from 1 species